rnacentral:lncRNA from 1 species
GGACGAGGAGAAGGACGAGGAGAACAAGGUGGACGAGCAGGACAAAGAUUUGUUAUUCGAGGUGGUUAGCGGUGGUCGUUGGAGGUGAUCGAGGUGGACAAGGAAGAAGUCGAAGAAGACGAGGAGAACCAGGUGGACGGGGAGGACGAGGAUUUGUGCACGGUGGUUAGCACUAGUCGUUCGAGGUGGUCGGAGGUGGUUGCGGGUGUUCGAGGUGGACGACGAGGAGAACGAGAACUUGUGCACUGUAAGUAUAACAUUUUUAUAAUAUUUAAUGGAGUAGGAGUAGGAGCAGGAGUAGG